GCCCUUAUAGCUUAGUGGUAGAGCGUUAGUCUUGUAAACUAAAAGUUUGUAAUUCAAUCCUAUGUGGGGGCA